UACGGAGGGUGCAAGCGUUAAUCGGAAUUACUGGGCGUAAAGCGCACGUAGGUGGUUUGCUAAGUCAGCUGUGAAAUCCCCGGGCUCAACCUGGGCACUGCAGUUGAAACUGGCAAGCUAGAGUAGGGUAGAGGGGUGUGGAAUUCCAGGUGUAGCGGUGAAAUGCGUAGAUAUCUGGAGGAACACCGGGGGCGAAGGCGGCAUCCUGGACCGACACUGACGCUGAGGAGCGUAAGCCAGGGGAGCAAACGGG
rnacentral:rRNA from 1 species